CCUAACACAUGCAAGUCGAACGAUUAAGACGCCUUCGGGCGUGCAUAGAGUGGCGAACGGGUGAGUAACACGUGACCAACCUGCCCCUACCCCGGGAUAACGCAAGGAAACCUGCGCUAAUACCGGAUACUCCUUCCCCUGCUCCUGCAGGGGUCGGGAAAGCCCAGACGGUAGGGGAUGGGGUCGCGGCCCAUUAGGUAGACGGCGAGGUAAUAGCUCACCGUGCCUGCGAUGGGUAGCCGGGUUGAGAGACCGACCGGCCACAUUGGGACUGAGAUACGGCCCAGACUCC
rnacentral:rRNA from 1 species